AUUAUUUUUUAAUUCUCUCCAUUUACUCGCCUUUAGAUAGUUUAGAUGGUGUUUGUUUACUCACUGGGAUUUAUAAUCUCACCACCCUCAAUUCCCCACAUUUCAGGUUCGGGAUAGCCGGUAGAUAGCAGAUUGCAUCAAGGACUUCAGUUAGCCUUGCAUUGUCAAAAUUAUAGGUUCACAAACUCGCUUCUUAUUGGUUAGUUAGGGGCCCA
rnacentral:lncRNA from 1 species